AGAUAACAAAAACGGGACUCUCGUCGAGACUCCGCCCACUUUGCCGCGGGUCUCUCGGAGCACGAGCAAGAUGCUGCCGCCGAGAGCCCCCCUCCCCGGGAUGGGGACUCCGCUUGCCUCGCCGCCACGGGUAAGAAGAAGAAGAAGAAGAUGAUGAUGCACACCAAAAAGCGACAGAGGAGGUGAACUGAAUGCAGUAAGAAGGGUAUCCAGAAAACUAAGCUACGCUGUGGGUAAAGAUGACAAAUCCCAGCAAUCGCUUGGGUGACUUCCUGGUUGAAACCCACCAAGGAGCAUUCAUGGACUGCUACAGAAAAAACUUUGCUUUAUAAAGUUUGGGUUUGUUUUCUUUUUCUUUCUUCUUCCAAGAAUCAGGGAUGUAUUUUAUGUAUGUGUCAUGCAGUUAGUCCUGUUUUAUGCUUACCUGUAAUGUAAAUCUUCAGGACUGGUUCAUCCCUUCUGACAGGGCGCUUAGUCCUUUGGCUUCAUCAGGUAUUGCAGGGAAUCAGGGUUCCGUUCUAUGGCAAAGUUUAAAUUUUGUAGUUAGUAGUGUUUGUUCUAACAGUGUGAUCAGUAUUUUCUUGUUAUCUGCUAAUAAGCUUUGAUUCUUAACAUAUUAGUCGUAAGAUGAGAAUCAAGCUCUUUUUGCUGGAUUUCUGCCUGUUUGUGCUUUAUAAGGGUAUUGCCACUACAUGAAAAAUUCUAAACUGGGAUGGAUGAUUGAAGUGCAGUAUUAGGCGCUAUGACUUGUUAUAUGCCUGCUAUGUUAAAUUUUCUACAUAGCUCACAGAGUGGAUUUUUCAAUAAAACUUUAUUUGUUUCAGUGAAUUUGACAGUUACAUUCUGUGUUCUGACAAAAUAUAUGUUCUAAAUAAAAAAUCCGUUCUCAACAAA